rnacentral:rRNA from 1 species
CACGUAGGGCGCAAGCGUUGUCCGGAAUUAUUGGGCGUAAAGAGCUCGUAGGCGGUCUGUUGCGUCUGCUGUGAAAACUCGGGGCUUAACCCCGAGCCUGCAGUGGAUACGGGCAGACUAGAGGUAGGUAGGGGAGAAUGGAAUUCCCGGUGUAGCGGUGAAAUGCGCAGAUAUCGGGAGGAACACCAGUAGCGAAGGCGGCACUCUGGGCCGGAACUGACGCUGAGGAGCGAAAGCGUGGGGAGCGAACAGG